rnacentral:rRNA from 1 species
ACGGAAGGCAGCAGUGGGGAAUAUUGGACAAUGGGGGAAACCCUGAUCCAGCGACGCCGCGUGAGUGAAGAAGUAUUUCGGUAUGUAAAGCUCUAUCAGCAAGGAAGAAAAUGACGGUACUUGACUAAGAAGCUCCGGCUAAAUACGUGCCAGCAGCCGCGGUAAUACGUAUGGAGCAAGCGUUAUCCGGAUUUACUGGGUGUAAAGGGAGCGUAGACGGCAAAGCAAGUCUGAAGUGAAAUCCCGGGGCUCAACCCCGGAACUGCUUUGGAAACUGUUUAGCUAGAGUGCAGGAGAGGUAAGCGGAAUUCCUAGUGUAGCGGUGAAAUGCGUAGAUAUUAGGAGGAACACCAGUGGCGAAGGCGGCCUGCUGGACUGUUACUGACGCUGAGGCACGAAAGCGUGGGGAGCAAACAGGAUUAGAUACCCUGGUA